GCCGAAGUGGCGGAACGGUAGACGCGCUACGUUCAGGGCGUAGUGUCCCUUGCGGACGUGUGGGUUCAAAUCCCUCCUUCGGCA
rnacentral:tRNA from 1 species